GACGUAGGGCGCGAGCGUUGUCCGGAUUUACUGGGCGUAAAGAGCUCGUAGGUGGUUUGUCGCGUUGUCCGUGAAAACUCACAACUCAAUUGUGGGCGUGCGGGCGAUACGGGCAGACUGGAGUACUGCAGGGGAGACUGGAAUUCCUGGUGUAGCGGUGAAAUGCGCAGAUAUCAGGAGGAACACCGGUGGCGAAGGCGGGUCUCUGGGCCGAUACUGACGCUGAGGAGCGAAAGCGUGGGGAGCGAACAGG
rnacentral:rRNA from 1 species